rnacentral:rRNA from 1 species
GUGGGGAAUUUUGGACAAUGGGCGCAAGCCUGAUCCAGCAAUGCCGCGUGCAGGAAGAAGGCCUUCGGGUUGUAAACUGCUUUUGUACGGAACGAGAAGGCUCUGGUUAAUACCUGGGGCUCAUGACGGUACCGUAAGAAUAAGCACCGGCUAACUACGUGCCAGCAGCCGCGGUAAUACGUAGGGUGCAAGCGUUAAUCGGAAUUACUGGGCGUAAAGCGUGCGCAGGCGGUUUUGUAAGACAGACGUGAAAUCCCCGGGCUCAACCUGGGAAUGGCGUUUGGGACUGCAAAGCUGGAGUGCGGCAGAGGGGGAUGGAAUUCCGCGUGUAGCAGUGAAAUGCGUAGAUAUGCGGAGGAACACCGAUGGCGAAGGCAAUCCCCUGGGCCUGCACUGACGCUCAUGCACGAAAGCGUGGGGAGCAAACAGGAUUAGAAACCCGGGUAGUCC